rnacentral:sRNA from 2 species
CUGGAACUUCCGCAAUAUCACUUGGAUCCACCUGUCAAUUUGCACCUAGCACGCCUGUUGGUUGGAGAUGACGGCAUGCACAUCCCAGCCGUCGACUUCGACAUUACCCCGGAAUCACAAUGCGCGAGAAGCGAAAAAUUCCUCCCCGUGGUGGAGAAUCCACCGCAAAGAGAAAGCUUUCAGAGGCAGCUCUCAAAAGGGACACCACACCGGCGAAGAGAAAAGCAUCUGCUACGCCCACUAUCCCCUCGCUGCCGGAACCUGAGAGGAGGGUCCUCCCCACAAAGAUUGAAGAUGGAAGCCCGUUGCCUACUCUUACCAACCCACAACCAAGCACUCUGUCACCGGAGGAGUAUCAGUCCUACGCUGAGAGCGCUGUAUUGUCUGCUGCUCUGCAAAGGUCAAGGAUAAGAUGGCUUAAUGACUGCAUAUUUGAGAAAUACUGGACCAAACCAUCCAAGAAGAAAUCACAGCCCCAACCACGGCAGAACCCCCCACGAGAAUCCAUGAGUAAACUGGGACCCUGCAAUAUCCUUAUCGAGCCUCAUCACUUUGAAGCCAUGUUAUUUACCGUCCGAAACCCGCAAGCCCAACAACCAAUCCAAUAUGCUCCUCCCCAGCGACCAAUUGUGCAAUACACCCCGCCAAAUAAUUUCUACCAGUACCAACCCCAACACCAACCCCCCGGC